rnacentral:ncRNA from 2 species
AAGGGGCAACGCGUUAUCGGUGCCCACGGGCGUUUCUCGCCCCGGGUUAAACGGGAAACAGGUGCGCGGCCCCUCGCAAACGAGGCCGCAAUGCCUGUGCUGCCCCCGCAACGGUAAGUGCGCGCAAGGUGCGUCAUGCAGCCACUGGGCAUCCAUGCCCGGGAAGGCGACCCACCCGUCCGGCCCCGCCGGCACAGCGCACGAGCCCGGAGACCGGCCGGAACGCGGAUUGGCGG